GGGGAUUUGGCUCAGUGGUAGAGCGCUUACCUAGCAAGCACAAGGCCCUGGGUUCAAUCCCCAGCUCA
rnacentral:tRNA from 1 species